GAUGAACGCUGGCGGCGUGCCUAAUACAUGCAAGUCGAGCGAACGGACGAGAAGCUUGCUUCUCUGAUGUUAGCGGCGGACGGGUGAGUAACACGUGGAUAACCUACCUAUAAGACUGGGAUAACUUCGGGAAACCGGAGCUAAUACCGGAUAAUAUUUUGAACCGCAUGGCUCAAAAGUGAAAGACGGUCUUGCUGUCACUUAUAGAUGGAUCCGCGCUGCAUUAGCUAGUUGGUAAGGUAACGGCUUACCAAGGCAACGAUGCAUAGCCGACCUGAGAGGGUGAUCGGCCACACUGGAACUGAGACACGGUCCAGACUCCUACGGGAGGCAGCAGUAGGGAAUCUUCCGCAAUGGGCGAAAGCCUGACGGAGCAACGCCGCGUGAGUGAUGAAGGUCUUCGGAUCGUAAAACUCUGUUAUUAGGGAAGAACAUAUGUGUAAGUAACUGUGCACAUCUUGACGGUACCUAAUCAGAAAGCCACGGCUAACUACGUGCCAGCAGCCGCGGUAAUACGUAGGUGGCAAGCGUUAUCCGGAAUUAUUGGGCGUAAAGCGCGCGUAGGCGGUUUUUUAAGUCUGAUGUGAAAGCCCACGGCUCAACCGUGGAGGGUCAUUGGAAACUGGAAAACUUGAGUGCAGAAGAGGAAAGUGGAAUUCCAUGUGUAGCGGUGAAAUGCGCAGAGAUAUGGAGGAACACCAGUGGCGAAGGCGACUUUCUGGUCUGUAACUGACGCUGAUGUGCGAAAGCGUGGGGAUCAAACAGGAUUAGAUACCCUGGUAGUCCACGCCGUAAACGAUGAGUGCUAAGUGUUAGGGGGUUUCCGCCCCUUAGUGCUGCAGCUAACGCAUUAAGCACUCCGCCUGGGGAGUACGACCGCAAGGUUGAAACUCAAAGGAAUUGACGGGGACCCGCACAAGCGGUGGAGCAUGUGGUUUAAUUCGAAGCAACGCGAAGAACCUUACCAAAUCUUGACAUCCUUUGACAACUCUAGAGAUAGAGCCUUCCCCUUCGGGGGACAAAGUGACAGGUGGUGCAUGGUUGUCGUCAGCUCGUGUCGUGAGAUGUUGGGUUAAGUCCCGCAACGAGCGCAACCCUUAAGCUUAGUUGCCAUCAUUAAGUUGGGCACUCUAAGUUGACUGCCGGUGACAAACCGGAGGAAGGUGGGGAUGACGUCAAAUCAUCAUGCCCCUUAUGAUUUGGGCUACACACGUGCUACAAUGGACAAUACAAAGGGCAGCGAAACCGCGAGGUCAAGCAAAUCCCAUAAAGUUGUUCUCAGUUCGGAUUGUAGUCUGCAACUCGACUACAUGAAGCUGGAAUCGCUAGUAAUCGUAGAUCAGCAUGCUACGGUGAAUACGUUCCCGGGUCU
rnacentral:rRNA from 1 species